UAGGGAACGUACCUUUUGGUUCGGAACAACACAGGGAAACUUGUGCUAAUACCGGAUAAGCCCUUACGGGGAAAGAUUUAUCGCCGAAAGAUCGGCCCGCGUCUGAUUAGCUAGUUGGUGAGGUAAUGGCUCACCAAGGCGACGAUCAGUAGCUGGUCUGAGAGGAUGAUCAGCCACAUUGGGACUGAGACACGGCCCAAACUCCUACGGGAGGCAGCAGUGGGGAAUAUUGGACAAUGGGCGCAAGCCUGAUCCAGCCAUGCCGCGUGAGUGAUGAAGGCCCUAGGGUUGUAAAGCUCUUUUGUGCGGGAAGAUAAUGACGGUACCGCAAGAAUAAGCCCCGGCUAACUUCGUG
rnacentral:rRNA from 1 species